GUCGUGUGCUUGGGUUUUCUUGUCGCUUUUCUUCCCCGAGAGCUGGGAUUUUGUCAUUGAGAAGAAAGUUUUCUGAGUGGACUUUUGAUUGUUCCCUGCAUGGCAACAUUUGUCAAAUGAAAUUCUCCUAGUGAGAUUUGGGUAUUGCCAGAA